rnacentral:rRNA from 1 species
GAUGAACGCUGGCGGCGUGCCUAAUACAUGCAAGUCGAGCGAACAGAUGAGGAGCUUGCUCCUCUGACGUUAGCGGCGGACGGGUGAGUAACACGUGGAUACCCUACCUAUAAUUCUGGGAUAACUUCGGGAAACCGGAGCUAAUACCGGAUAAUCUAUUGAACCGCAUGGUUCAAUAGUGAAAGACGGUUUUGCUGUCACUUAUAGCUGGAUCCGCGCCGCAUUAGCUAGUUGGUAAGGUAACGGCUUACCAAGGCAACGAUGCGUAGCCGACCUGAGAGGGUGAUCGGCCACACUGGAACGGAGACACGGUCCAGACGCCUACGGGAGGCAGCAGUAGGGAAUCUGCCGCAAUGGGCGAAAGCCUGACGGAGCAACGCCGCGUGAGUGAUGAAGGUCUUCGGAUCGUAAAACUCUGUUAUUAGGGAAGAACAAAUGUGUAAGUAACUAUGCACGUCUUGACGGUACCUAAGCAGAAAGCCACGGCUAACUACGUG